rnacentral:rRNA from 1 species
CCUACGGGUGGCUGCAGUCGAGAAUCAUUCACAAUGGGGGAAACCCUGAUGGUGCGACGCCGCGUGGGGGAAUGAAGUUCUUCGGAUUGUAAACCCUGGUCAUGUGGGAGCAAAUUAAAAAUAUAGUACCACAAGAGGAAGAGACGGCUAACUCUGUGCCAGCAGCCGCGGUAUUACAGAGGUCUCAAGCGUUGUUCGGGAUCACUGGGGGUAAAGCGUGCGAAGGCUGUUUCGUAAGUCGUGUGUGAAAGGCGCGGGCUAAAACCGCGGACGGCACAUGAUACUGCGAGACUAGAGUAAUGGAGGGGGAAGCGGAAGUCCAGGUGAAGCAGUGAAAUGCGUAGAUAUCGAGAGGAACAC